GAGGAAAGGCACAUAAUCAAAUCCCUAGAUUGUGUGUUCUGUGCUGAUAAUGAGUCAAAUCGCCAUUUAUUCUUUGAUUGUGUAGUUGCCAGGAAUGUAUGGUACUUUGUUAGCCAUCAUUUCCAAAUCGAGAUAGGCGCAAACUUUGAGUUUGUUGCUCGAUUUUGGGUUUCUAACAAAAAUAACUUGGCUUUGAACAUUAUUAGCUCUGCUAUCCUAUGGUGUUUCGGGAAAUAUAGAAACCCUAUGAUUUUUAACAACACCAGUUGGACCUCUAUUAUUCAGGUGUGGAGCAUGAUCAUCGGAAUGCUCAAAAUCUGGGUGAUUUUGACCCCAGAGGCCGGCAAACCCAAGAUGGAGGCGUUCAUGAGUGCCCUGACAAAACUUCUCCAACAACCCUUGAGGAUCUUGAGUGGUUGA
rnacentral:rRNA from 1 species